UACGAAGGGUGCUAGCGUUGUUCGGAAUCACUGGGCGUAAAGCGCGCGUAGGCGGCUUCUCAAGUCAGGGGUGAAAUCCCACAGCUCAACUGUGGAAUUGCCUUUGAAACUAUGAAGCUAGAGUGUCGGAGGGGAUAGCGGAAUUGCUAAUGUAGAGGUGAAAUUCGUAGAUAUUAGCAGGAACACCGGUGGCGAAGGCGGCUAUCUGGACGACAACUGACGCUGAGGCGCGAAAGCACGGGGAUCAAACAGG
rnacentral:rRNA from 1 species